rnacentral:lncRNA from 1 species
CUGGUUUCUUCUGUUUAGUUUCUUCUAAAACAUGUUAAGCAAAUUUUUAAAAACAAAUCUUAAUUGGAAGUACUCUUUAUAGAUAUACACACAUAACUGUAUACAAACACACAUGUAUGUAUAGUAAUGAAAAUAAAAAGCAGUAUGUAUGAAGUACCCAACUUUUACAAAUGAAAUCUUUGCAAAAGAUAGCAGGCAGUAAUACCAGAGACAGUUGCCACUCCAUCCCCAUGAGAUUUCUUAAGCAGUGAGCUAUUACAACUUUAGAGUGUAAAGCAUAGUAGCUACAGAAGAAGUGUUAUAUUUUAAUUUCUCUAAUUUUUAAUAUGUAUACUGUUUUUUUUCCCUUUGUGUGACUGUGGAAUUGGUAUCAAAUCAUUUAUUAGCAGUGUGCUAGUAAUCAUCCCUGUCAAAUUCAGUAAUGAAUUCUUCUCAGUUUAGCACUUGUUUUUGGGUAAUGGGAAGUCUGCCAAGCUCUGAAAUUUGAUUUAAAGCUUUUAGCUAAUUGUACUUCUUUUCUAUUUGUUUCAUUUAGCAAAUUUGUUGCAGUGAAACUGCAAUUUAUGACCUUGUUCUUAUUCUAAAACAGAAAACACUUUUAUAAAAAUUUAACAGUAGGGAAGCAGUAAUUGUGGAAGCAAAGCUCACAUCCCUCAAAAUAUUAAAUUAGCAUUUUCUUUUCUAGAUGAAGAAUGUAACCUUUUAUUAAAAAUAAAUAUAUAUAUAUAAGCUGCUGAGAUUGUGUCUACACUGUUAUCUAAAAAUUAUUUUUUUCUCGGGAAACUUGCUUCUAGGGAAGAAAAAAAUUCAGUGUAGACAACAUGAGAAUAUUGGUACAUCUUCUUUGCUUCGAUCUUCUAAUUAAUUCAAGCUGGUCAAUGACUUGUUCCAGAAUAAUCCACAGUGGAAAGCGUGACCUCAAAGAAGAGAAAUCAAGGGGAAGAAUGAGAAGAAGCUGGGAUGCUGAUUGUGGACUGAUGAGCAAUCACAAACACCUUUCUGAUAAGAGCCCAAGAGUAGGAAACAAAGCAAGCUGCAACUCUGGGUGACCUCCUGUUUCCACAGAAUCAGAGCCCAUCUACCUGCUAGCCUCACAUCUGGAAAAUAGAAGCGAAGGAUCUGAAGGUUUGGGAAGCUGUGUAGUGUCUCCAUGGGGAUGGAGCUCUGCCUGAAGGACAGCUGGGCUUACCUACCAGGCUCUGUGCCAAGAGCUCAACCAGGCAGCCCUGAAGAAACUGUCAGGUGGGAAGGAUGGAUCUGCUUGAGAUAGCUAUAUCGUAUCAAGCUUGGGUAUCUUGUGUGUAUUCUUCAGUUUCGAUAUAUUGCCUACUGGCUUUCAAAGGCAUUAUGAUUCUGUGCUUUAUCCUUUAUGUAGAUUUUACAUAAAUAAACACUUCAUCUAAGCUUAACA